UGAAUGCAGUCACACGCUGUGCACCAUGUAGAAGCUCCAACACCGACUGAAGCGACCUCAAUAAACAUGUGAUUAUGUCAGUUGAGGUUAGAUUAUUUUUCCAGUCGUACUUGAAGAGGAUAGACUAUCCAAAACAUUCGGUUCUCCAAAGAUUAACUCACUGAAGAAUGGAAGGGAAAGAGAAGCAGUUGAUCGUUAAAAAUGUUCUUCAUUCUGGAACCCAAGAAGUGGAUUUUGUCCCUGGAUCUAAGGUGUUCUUUCAUUUCCGAACUAUGAAACUUGAUGGUACUAUCAUUGAUGAUAGUAAAAAGAUGGGAAGACCCAUGGAGUUAGUUCUUGGAAAAAAAUUUAAGCUGGAGGUGUGGGAGGCCAUCGUCCAGAAAAUGACAUUGAACGAAGUCAGUAAAUUCAGGGUCGACAAAAGUCUAGUGUCAUCGUACCCAUUCGUCUCCAAAACAUUGAGGGAAGUAGGAAAGCCAAAGAGUGAAAAGACAAACACACAUUGCUGUGGAGUAACUCUGCAAAAUGAGGGAAUUGGAUAUCCUGAUCUCAACGAAUUGAUAAAAAAUUCCGAGGAUCUGGAAUUUAUACUAGAACUGAUCAAAGUCGUUUCACCGACUGAUUACGAGAAAGAAUCAUGGCAAAUGACUGAGGAUGAAAAAUUAAAGAAAGUGCCUUUACUUAAAGAAAAGGGAAAUGAAAAAUUUAGAGCCCAAAAUUAUGAAGAAGCUGCCAAUGACUAUGCCACCGCCAUUGGAAUGCUGGAGCAGUUAAUGUUGAGUGAAAAACCACAUGAUGAGGACUGGCAAACUCUCAACAGAAUGAAGAUUCCUCUUCUUCUGAACUUCGCGCAAUGUAAAUUAUACAAAAAGGAGUAUUAUGCUGUUAUUGAACACUGCACUACAGUUUUAGGAAUUGAACCAGAUAAUGUGAAAGCUCUAUAUAGGAGGGGAAAAGCCCACAUAGGGGCCUGGAAUGAGAGAGAAGCUCUCGAGGACUUACAAAGAGUUGUAGAACUCGAUCCAACUCUCAAAUCCACGGUUGAGAAGGAAAUUCAGUCGUUCUUAAGCGCAGUUAAGGAUAAGGAACUCAAACAAAAAAAAACUUUAUCUCAAAUGUUUUCAUAAUUUAUUCUGAUUGAAUGGUUUUAUUAUGAAAUUAUAUCAUAUGAAUGUCAAAGUCGAUACGCAGCCCUUAUCGUGGUUGAUAAUCAUUACGGAACUCGUCCGUACGGUGCUGACUCGAGUGGCGAGAACAGUAAACUGUUGACUCCCGGGUUGUUUCCACGAUAUUUAAAGAUUUAAAUUUCGACUUGAGCCGGAACAUGUUGUUCACUAUUUAAACCGCACUGACCAUUACUACUCGAACCCAGAAAUGAGAAGGAAAUAUUUGAACAGAUCCCCCUUGUGGUCCGAUCGGGAUAAGAUACCUUAUUAGGGCGGUCGCUCUUUCCCUUAAGCUACAAUUCACGUAAUUUACUUAAACGAGCUCACUUGUGUGUCAACCCACUGCUCCUGAUUUUUACUCAUAAUACUCUUCUUCGUCAUGAGCGAGUUCUGAAGGUACGAGCCAUUCAAGCGAGUUAACUUUUGCAAUGGCUUCGUAAUAAAGUUACCCAGUUCGUAAGACGGCGCUUCAUUGUUGCGGAUAACAAGACGCAGAAUGCAAAUAAGAAACCUGUAAUCAAUCAUCAGAAAUCUGGAGAGGAGUGUGCGGUUUUUCGUCAAUUUUUCACGGAGUUGAUGAAUGAAUCUAAGAGAGAAAAAUAAUGGACCCGACGUAGACCAUCUCCUUACAG